rnacentral:rRNA from 1 species
UACAGAGGGGGCAAGCGUUGUUCGGAAUUACUGGGCGUAAAGGGCGCGUAGGCGGCCUGUUAAGUCGAACGUGAAAUCCCUGGGCUCAACCCAGGAACUGCGUCCAAGACUGGGAGGCUUGAAUCCGGGAGAGGGAUGCGGAAUUCCAGGUGUAGCGGUGAAAUGCGUAGAUAUCUGGAGGAACACCGGUGGCGAAGGCGGCAUCCUGGACCGGUAUUGACACUGAGGCGCGAAAGCCAGGGGAGCAAACGGG